CCCCACUCGCCUCCUGAGCCCAGCGCGUCGCCUCCUGGCCGGAGGAGGAGGUGGUGGAGGAGGAGGAGGAGGCGCCGCCUUCUUGCCGCGCGCCCUCGCUGUUGUCUGCACUCCGCUCUGGACCAGUUUGGGGAAGUUGCCGGAGCCCCGCGUCGCCCAGAUGUGCGACCUCAUUGAGCCGCAGCCGGCCGAGAAGAUCGGCAAGAUGAAGAAGUUGCGGAGAACUUUGUCGGAGAGUUUCAGCCGCAUCGCUUUGAAGAAAGACGACACCACCUUUGAUGAGAUAUGUGUCACAAAGAUGUCUACACGGAACUGCCAGGGAAUGGACUCAGUGAUCAAACCCCUGGACACAAUUCCUGAGGAUAAAAAAGUCAGGGUUCAGAGGACACAGAGCACCUUUGACCCAUUUGAGAAACCAGCUAAUCAAGUAAAGAGGGUGCAUUCCGAGAACAAUGCUUGCAUUAACUUCAAGUCCUCCUCCACUGGCAAAGAGUCACCAAAAGUUAGGCGGCACUCCAGCCCCAGCUCGCCAACCAGCCCCAAAUUUGGAAAAGCUGACUCAUACGAAAAACUGGAAAAACUAGGGGAAGGAUCUUAUGCUACAGUUUACAAAGGAAAAAGCAAAGUAAAUGGGAAGUUGGUAGCCCUGAAGGUGAUCAGGCUGCAAGAAGAAGAAGGUACACCUUUUACAGCUAUCAGGGAAGCCUCUCUGUUAAAAGGACUAAAACAUGCUAACAUAGUUCUGCUUCAUGACAUCAUCCACACCAAGGAGACGCUGACACUUGUGUUUGAAUAUGUGCACACUGAUUUAUGUCAGUACAUGGACAAGCACCCUGGGGGGCUGCAUCCAGAUAAUGUGAAGUUGUUUUUAUUUCAGUUGCUGCGAGGGCUGUCUUACAUCCACCAGCGUUACAUUUUGCACAGAGACCUGAAACCACAGAACCUUCUGAUCAGUGACACGGGGGAGUUAAAGCUGGCAGAUUUCGGUCUUGCAAGAGCAAAAUCUGUCCCUAGCCACACAUACUCCAAUGAAGUGGUUACCUUGUGGUACAGACCUCCAGAUGUCCUCCUGGGCUCAACAGAAUAUUCCACCUGCCUUGACAUGUGGGGUGUUGGCUGCAUCUUUGUUGAAAUGAUCCAAGGAGUUGCUGCUUUUCCAGGAAUGAAAGACAUUCAGGAUCAACUUGAACGAAUAUUUCUGGUUCUCGGAACGCCAAAUGAGGACACGUGGCCUGGAGUUCAUUCUUUACCACAUUUUAAGCCAGAACGCUUUACCCUGUACAGCUCUAAAAACCUUAGGCAAGCGUGGAAUAAGCUCAGCUAUGUGAAUUAUGCAGAGGAUCUGGCCUCCAAGCUCCUACAGUGUUCCCCAAAGAACAGACUAUCAGCACAGGCUGCCUUGAGCCACGAGUAUUUUAGUGACCUGCCCCCACGGCUAUGGGAACUGACCGAUAUGUCUUCUAUUUUUACCGUCCCAAACGUAAGAUUGCAGCCAGAAGCUGGAGAAAGCAUGCGGGCCUUUGGGAAAAACAAUAGUUAUGGCAAAAGUCUAUCAAAUAGCAAGCACUGAUGAGCACAACAUUCUCAAGAGAGCACAGUUGGAGUAAUAAAAUUAUGAAGUAUGGAACUGUUUCAAUAGUAGAACUGUAGAAGAUUAAGUUGUCAUCAUUCUGGGAAGAAAAAAAAAACAUUAAUGAAGUGGCCAAUAAUACGAAGGGAAUCACGGAUCACUUUCCUUCCCCUCCCUGUGGUGGAUUUCACUUACAAGAAAAUUGAAGCUGGCAAGACCCUGUUUUCUCUGCAAUUUAUUUAAAACCUUGCACGCAUUUGGAUACCUUGUGAUUUCCAAGAACUAUGUGAAGAUUAAGCUUUGCUUACUGAUACAUGGCAUGUAUUCUUUUCAGUCUUUUGUGUUUGAUUUUGUUUGAUUUCCCUCUGCAGCACAGCGUCUCUGUAAAGGUUUUUAUGCUUUCACCAGCCAUGUCUUAAAUACAUUAAGACAACACAUUUGGUGUUCACACUUCUUCAGUAAUGUCUGUACUUGAAAGCCACAUAGUGGCAUAAAACAAUGUGUGUUUUCUUUGAGAGCAGUGCACAUUUUGCAACCACUAGGAAGGAAAUUUUUAGCUACAGCAAACCCAUGUUCUCAGACCGACUUGACAACUUGGUCCCUGGCUGUGGGGCCCCACUUGUUGCUUACCUUUUGAGGACAUUUGCAAAUGUGGUUUUCUCUUGGAAAUAACUGCACGUGUAUAUAGGAUAUCAGAAUCUGCUUAGCAUUUUAAGCCACAUAGCAUGACUGUUUUCCAAGUAGGUUGGAAGUAAAGAAACUUAUAUCAAGCGUUCAGAACAAAGACAGGGAUAAAUUGCUUACUUUUCAACCUCUGGAAAUGGAGGUAACCUUUUACAUGUUUUCUGGGUCUUGUCUACAUCUUAUAUUUUCCAUCCACUCUGUUAUGCUUCAGGAGUGUUUUCUAAAUGGAAGAGAAAAGAGUGAGGAACAGAAUGCUUAAAACCUGGGUGCAAAUGAAUUGUCUCUGCUGGAUGAGCCCUGAAAGCCAUCUUGGCUAGUUAACAGUUAAAAAAGCAAAUUACAAAGUUAUCCAGAGUUAAAAAUUUGCUCACUUACACCAAAGCACCUUUAAAUUACAUUUUUUAAAACAUUCCAAGCUGAUUGGAAGACACCAUUGGGGACCUUAACUUUAAACAGUCUCCUGGAAAAACUGUUUGAACACAGGUUGCAGAACCCAUGUGGGAGUCUUGCUUUCAAGAUGGCAAGGGAAAAAGAAAGGCCCAGCUUCCCUUGUUAAGAUGAUGAGGGUCUUGAAGGAUGAAGGCAUGUAUGUGACAAGGAGGGAAAAGUGGACUGGGCACACGUUGUGCUUUGAUGCAGAGGGAGACAUGCCUGAUGUAGGCCUUCUCCCAGUGGGACCGUCCUCACUGCAUAACCCCAAAUAAUACUGAGGCCAAGUGGGCAGUUAGGAAACUUCAUAUAAAGCAUGAAACCUAGCCCCUCAGAACACCAAUUCCUAUGGAAAUACUUCCAUGUAUGUCGUUCUACAUUUUUCUAUUGGUCAGAAAGAAGGAGAGACUGAGAAUUUGAAAUGUGUCGCACUUUUUUAGGAUCGAGACUAGGAAUUAUGAGCCAGUUUGACAAAGGCAUCUUCUGAGAGUCAUGUGAGGGGAAAGGUUCUCGACAGUCAAAGCCAGCAUUCCUAAGAAAUUGGACCCAGAACUUCUAAGCGUUAAAAGGGUACCUUCCCUGGAGUGGGACGUAACAUGCCAAGGUCACAAUCCAGCCUAUUCAGAAGUGGCAUUCAUUGAAAACUUACAGGUGCAAAGCAAGGAAUUGUUUGCUAAUUAAUUUUAAAGAGAGCAAAAGUUACCCAAGACUAGAAUGUUUACUAGUCGCUACCUAGAAAUCUUUCCCAUUCUUCUUUCGGACAUUCCAACCCAUUGGAAGUCUUUGGCUGUAUUUUAACAUGUGCUGAAAUUAGGAUUCCUUAAGAUAAAUAUGGGGAGAAAAUUUUACAUGCAAUCAAGAAUGGCCUUGUCUGUGGUUUGUUUUGAAUUAUUUAUUUGGGGGAGAGGCAUAACUUUUGUAUUUUACUAACUUUAAAUCAAGAGCAGCUGAUGAUUAAAUCUUGCUAUUUAAUAAGCUUUCUAAUUGGAACAUUUGAAAAUAUUUAAUAUUAAAAAAGACUUCAAUUAGGAAUGUUAGCAUCAUUCAGAGAUAUAUAAGCAGCUUCUCUCUGGAAUUGAAGCAUAAUACUCAGUAUUGGGAGGUAUCUGUUUUUUACAGAGAUGUAUGUCUCAGAAGGUCUCAUUUAGGAGGUUUGUAGUUCCCUGUCCUUGUUAUCAGUACAGGAAAUCCAAAGUUUGCUUUGUCUCUCUCCCCUUUCCUCUCCUAUUGGCAAUCCAUCCUCCCUCCUCCUCUCCCCUGCCUUCUCCCACUGAGGGCAGCCAUGAAAAUCAUUACAGAACAUGUUCAUUAGCAGAUUUAUUAUUCUAUUGAGAAAGCAAUGGAAUGUUUUGUGAGAUUAUUUUUAUAUGAAGGAUUAGCUUGAAUUCAUACAGCUGGAAUAGUAGGAACACAUUAGCAUGGUGACGGUAUGAAUGCAACAUCAAUGCACACAUAGUAUCUGAAAGAAAAAUUGGGACUUCAUUUCCUUAAAGGAACAGUUUGGUUGACUUAAAAAUGCAAGAUACAUAGGACAUGCAAAAAUGUUUUGCAGUGCUCAAAGAAAAAACAAGGGGCAUAAGACAAGGGUGGCUGUCCAUCCACUGAUAUAAGGGUGAGAAGUUAUUUCUACCUCCCAAGAGUGAUAAGAAAAGUUUCCAGGGUAGCCUCCAGGUUCGCAGAGAGAGCAAAGCCUCUUGGUAUCCUCUCCUCAGUGUGUACAUGACAGCCAGUGUAAUUAAUACCCUAGCUUAUGUGUCUAUUUGAGAGACUCAUCUGUGAAUAAUACUGGUUUUGUAAUCUUUGUUACAUAAGAGGAUGUUUAGGCUGUACAUACUGGGGUAGAUUAUUGCCUACCCCCCCCCAUCCGUAGGAAUAUGCUGCAUAAUUGCACAUAACUUUUAUCUCUCUUAUUGGCUUAUAGGCAGAGGAAACCAUAUAUGUUACUGCCUUGCAAAUUUCUCAUACACCAAAAACAACCAAAAAAUGUCUCAAGUAAAAUAACCCAUCUCCUAUUUUCAUUCCCCUUCCCACAGCAGCAUAUUUUAGAGGCACAUACAAAAUUGACAUUCUCUAGUUGGAAGUGGACUUUUUUAAUUUUUCUUUUAUCUUUUUUUUUUGUAUGAUACACUGAGAUGUGUACUUUCUAGCAGGAGGUCGGUACCUAAGAAAUGUGUUAGCAUCAUUCAGAAAACUAUUAUACUCCAAAAUGAAACAUAGUAAGGAGAAUGGAAUAAUGUUGCAUAUUUGUUACCAAGUGUAAUUUGUCUGUAUUAUGAAAGAUGUAAUGGUUUGUCAGCUGUCACUGUUGUUUUCUUGUAACAUGAUAUGGAAUAAAGUAUAGCAGAAUCUCUGUA